GAGUUUGUAAGGUAACACGAAAACUGCUAAUUCUUCGUCUCCAUGGUUCAAUUCCAAGGCCAACUCA
rnacentral:tRNA from 1 species